UACGUAGGGGGCAAGCGUUGUCCGGAAUCAUUGGGCGUAAAGAGCGUGUAGGCGGCCCGAUAAGUCCGCUGUGAAAGUCCAGGGCUCAACCCUGGGAUGCCGGUGGAUACUGUCGGGCUCGAGUCCGGAAGAGGAGUGUGGAAUUCCUGGUGUAGCGGUGAAAUGCGCAGAUAUCAGGAGGAACACCAAUGGCGAAGGCAGCACUCUGGGACGUGACUGACGCUGAGACGCGGAAAAGCGUGGGGGAGCAAACAGG
rnacentral:rRNA from 1 species